GGUGCAGGUGACAGCAGUGUGGGCUGGAGCAACCAGCUGGCACUGUCAGGAAGAGCAAUAGACAUCCACAUCAAAUAUGAAAGAUGAGCAACAAGAGGAAAUACUUUAUUUCGUUUUAAAAAACAUUCAAAAUGUCACUUCAGGGUUGGUAACAGUGUGACUUUGCAUGCCUCCAGGAUUUCUAAAAUUGCUGAAACGGAUUUUGGGAAACUGGUGGGACUAGACUACCAGGAGGGAGAUUUAACAGCAAGAAGAUUGAUUAUAAUCAAGUCUGCUAAGGGAUGGUUGUAACCGGCCAAGGUGCAUUCGCUGCCUGCCCUCAGGAUAUACUGCCUGAGGCAAAAAAGUGUGUAACCUGGACUGUUCCCAUUUGCUCUUCUCAUCUCCCUACCUUAGGAAACUACUACACAAAUUGCAACAGCCCUACCAGAAAGGAGUCAAAGAAAAGGCUCCAAUCAUGCCACCUAUUGAAGUUUCUUCUCCUGCAUGUAGCCAAGGAGCUCAAGACUCACUGCAGAGAAUAUUCCAUAUGAAGCAUGUUUCAUUGAGCAGAGCACAUCUUUUCCACUUUGCCCACAUUUUUUGUUUCUUUUGCGCAGUUUCACGUUCAGUUCGAAGGUGUCUGUGUUAAAGGGCAAUCUGUUUUGAGAACUUCUAAAGUUAUAUCGAGGUUUAUAUUGAAUCUUUGAUUAUUGAAGCAUAACAGUCUCCAUUAAUAAAUCCUCUAUAAGUAAGCUGAAUAAUUAACCUCCUAGCCAAAAGAGAUGUGGAAUGGCAUGGGAAGUGUUAGAUGCGCACCGACUUUGUAACGCAGACCCUAAUUACCGCUAAUGGCUUAAAACCAUCAUACUUAAAAAUACCUUUACAACAGGGUUCUCUCUCCACUCCUGCCUAAUAUUGCUCAUAAAUGAAAUAUACCAAAGAUUAAAUCAUUGGCUUCAUCGCACACUAAACAUUCAAAAUCAUUAUCCCAAAAUCCUUUUGGGAAGCAGACAAGAUGCUCUCAGUUCAGCUCCCUGUAGAUUUUAGAUCAGUAGCACAAAGACAUAGCAUAUAAUUGCACUCAAAUGGUAGUCUGAGCUUAUAAGAGGCCAAGGACAAAUUAGUCCAAAUCAUCUCCUACUUUAAAAAGAGACAUUUCAGUAUGGGCUCAGUUUAGAUCUGCAGCUGCCUGACCUAUGGAUAAAUAAAAGGCUUUAAUGUUUCCAGAAACUGAACAGUGAACAAUUUGGGUGCCUGAAUAUGACGGGAAACAUCAGCCUUUUUGAUCUAGACUUUUUGAUUUCUGUAAGCAUUUUGGCUUCAGGAUGAACUCUGAAUUCUUGAAUUUAUAUUGAAGUAUAAACCUCAACUUUAAACUCUAGAUUAUAAAGGGAAAUGAAGAGUAAAAUGGAAGCAGCAUGUAAAUACUGUGAAAUGUUUCCAAUAACUAUCAAAUAGUGCUUUUUAAUGUUAUAUGACAUUUUACAGAUGCAGAAAACAAUCAUAUAUCUAUUGUCAGCCAAUUAAGACAUUAAAAUAAAUGCAAAUGCAAAAAUUACUGACCUGAUAUCUCUUUAAAUAUCAUGUAUACUAUUUUAAUAGUAUGUAUUUAUUUUGCAAAGGAGGUUUUAAAAUAACUAAGCACCUCAUGCUGAAUAGUGGGAGAAGAUAAGUCAGGAAAGGAUCAAUCUAUAUUUUUUUCCUUAUAUUCUUCAGCUAUCUGAUAGCAGGUAUAGCAUGCAGCAGAAAAUCAGGAUUAAGAUCCUUUCAUCUGACUUGAAGUGGCAAAUGGGUUCCUAAAAUUAAGGAAAGAAAGAAGUUGUCUAGAUUGGAACUUAAGUUUCCAUUCCCCUCUGACUGUUAGUAUAUAUAUGGUAACUCUGAGCACAUUUCAUACUUUGGGUAGAACAAACAAAUAUUUACUUCCUGAAAACACAUUUGGGAUGUAUGUACAGUAGCAUGUACAGUUCAGUCAGGCUGGAAGGAGGGCGAAGAGGCUGAAGUAUGAGCCCAGGACACAAAAGAAUAUGUUCUCAAGCUUCACCCCAGGCUUUUAAGGCAAUGUUGGAGUAGACAUGUGGCCUCCUAUGUGCCUCAAUUUCCCUUCUGUACUGCAGGGCUAAAUAGCAUCACUCUCCAUCUAAAAGGAAGACAGUCCUGUAGGUCUGUGAUUCAGUCUAGCCAGCCAGGCAGGAAGAAACAACAUAUUGUGCUUCUCACUCUCAAAGGUUAUUUUUGGACCUUUACCAGGAGGUAAAGAAGAGAUGAAAGCACAAUCUGAAUUGUGCUUUUUGCUGCUGAAAUAAAAGUAAUGGUGUCUAUCAGAUUUAA